GGGGGUGACUAGUGACAGAGUGAGGGGGUGACAAGUGACAGAGUGAGGGAAGGGGUGACUAGUGGCAGAGUGAGGGAAGGAAGGGGUGACUAGUGACAGAGUGAGGGGAUGACUGGUGACAGAGAGGGAGGUGGUGACUGUCACUAGUCACCCCAUCCCACCCUCUGUCACUAGUCACUCCCUCCCUAACUCUGUCACUAGUCAUCCCUUCACUCUGUCACUAGUCACCCCCUCCCUCUGUCAUUGUGUCACCCCAUCCCUCCCUCUGUCACUGUGUCACUCCAUCCCUCCCUCUGUCACUAGUCACUCACUCUAGUGA
rnacentral:sRNA from 1 species